rnacentral:lncRNA from 10 species
GCCGGGCGCGGUGGCACGUGCCUGUAGUCCCAGCUACUUGGGAGGCUGAGGCUGGAGGAUCGCUGGAGUCCAGGAGUUCUGGGCUGUAGUGCGCUAUGCCGAUCGGGUGUCCACACUAAGUUCGGCAUCAAUAUGGUGACCUCCCGGGAGCAGGGGACCACCAGGUUGUCUAAGGAGGGGUGAACUGGCCCAGGUCAUCUACAGUCCGUUGGGGAAGAUGGACAUGAAAAAAACACAUGAUUAUAAUCUGUUAAUGAUAAUCAGGCAAAAAGCUACA